GCAGCGCGCUGGCUGAUGGGCCAACCGGAUCCUUUUCUGAAGGAACUGAUAAAUUCUGGUACGUGUCUUGGUUCGACUCUUGGCACCCUGCG
rnacentral:tRNA from 1 species